rnacentral:rRNA from 2 species
AUACAACUUUUGACAACGGAUCUCUUGGCUCUCGCAACGAUGAAGAACGUAGCGAAUUGCGAUAAGUAAUGUGAAUUGCAGUUUCAGUGAAUCAUCAAAUCUUUGAACGCAUAUUGCACUCCUUGGUAUUCCGAGGAGUACGCCUGUUUGAGAACC